GACGAACCGUGCGAACGUUGUUCGGAAUCACUGGGCUUAAAGGGCGCGUAGGCGGACUGCCAAGUCCGGGGUGAAAUCCUCCGGCUUAACCGGAGAAUUGCCUGGGAUACUGGCGGUCUUGAGGGAGGUAGGGGCACGCGGAACUUCCGGUGGAGCGGUGAAAUGCGUUGAUAUCGGAAGGAACGCCGGUGGCGAAAGCGGCGUGCUGGCCCUCUUCUGACGCUGAGGCGCGAAAGCUAGGGGAGCAAACAGG
rnacentral:rRNA from 1 species